rnacentral:rRNA from 1 species
CGGAUUGAAGGCUGAAAUUCGCCUUCAUGAAGCCGGAAUUGCUAGUAAUGGCAGGUCAGCAUACUGCCGUGAAUACGUUCCCGGGCCUUGUACACACCGCCCGUCACACCAUGAGAGUUGGGAAUACCCGAAGCCUGUGAGCUAACGUUAGGGAGGGAGCAGCCGAAGGCAGGUCGGAUGACUGGGGUGAAGUCGUAACAAGGUACC